GAGACACUCCUAUGGAGCAGAACUUGCUUCAGUGGGGCUUUGGUGCUCACUGAGUCUGCCCCUUGAAUGUGUCACU
rfam:Myotis brandtii contig183959, whole genome shotgun sequence.